UGGUAGAACGAGGUCACGCUGACACACGCGAUACACACACGCGGAGUGAUGGCGGCAUGCCAUCAAUUAAACAAAUGAAACAUAAUGAGAAACAGACGAGAGGGAGAGAUCAGCCAGAGAUCGGACUCCAGGGAGACGUUCCAUUCCUGCUCCGCACCAUGUGUGACCACAGAGGUUCAGGAAAAUCCAUGGCCUGUCUGACUCCUCCACCUCUUCAGCGUCAGCCUGGUACCCAUUGAUCACGAGGAGGUGUAUGGCUCGACGGCCACACAGUGACAGUGCCUGGAUAAAGAACAUUAUGUUAAAUACAUUGUCUUUAUGAAGGGUCGCUGGCUUUCUUUGAAGGUGUCAUUAAUCAGAAUGUCGCACCAUUUGUCACCCUACUGAUAACAUUUAGGGGAGUUUUGUGAGCCCCUAAACGUUUUGGCUGUUGGGAUUGGGAUUGAUAGUGUCUGCUACUCGUGGAUUUGCGAUAUCGUCCUCUUGUUGAAAUGCAUCGAGUGCUAUCCAAGCUACUUUAGUGACAAGUGUGUGUGCAUCCUCUGUUAAGAGGAAACCUUCGGAGUACUUUUAGUUCAAUAGCUUUGUCAUUUCUGCAAUACAGUUGACGAUUUCAGUGUACUUCCACGGCAAUCUGGUCCUAUAAUACUUUUAGUGUAAAUAUAAUGUGUAACUGAUUUUGAAGGGGAGCCGACUCUUCUCAUUGACUUCUUAAUAGGCCAAUGUUGUUAUGCAGUUUCAGACCUUGUCAUGUCAAAUUAAAUGUGUCACUUUCUCUCAAUGAUCAAUAUUAUGCUAUAUUUAUCUAUUUUUCUGUAUUUUUAUUUUUAUGCCAUAUCUUCAGCAGUAUUCACCUUACUGCUAGUUUUCUAACGGUCCUUGAACACCAAAGAACAAGCAGCAGAAGAAGAAAUGUUUGUCAGAUGUGUGGAUUGCUAAUUGUGUCCACCUGUGUGUUCUGGCUGUUGGUUCCCUGGGUUCUGCCGCGGGUGUCUUCGGCGUUCUGUCCUAUGUCGCAUUCCUUCCUGCUGAUCUGGGUUUUCCUUUUGGAAUUUAGACACUAACUAUUAUAUUAUUAUUUGCCAAGACUUUUAUGUUUUGGAGUUUUGGUCUCUGUGACUUUAGAUUACACUAAAUCAAAUAUGGGCGAAAACAUUAAACAAUAUAAUUUCUCAAAAUGAUGAAAUAUAUAAAUAGUUGGGAUGGUUUUGGGUUUGCUGAGAGAAAAAGAAAGCCAGGGCUGUGUCUGAUUUAACUUCCAGACAUCUUAAUCUCAGAUCUUCGGCUCGCCCAUAAAGCAAGUUGAAAAUGCAGGAAUCCACGGUAUGAAACUAGAUAUUUGCAAGACACCGAAGUCCAAGGCUUAUCCACAGUAAACGUUGUGUGUGCGCGAUAAGGUGUGUGCAUUUGUUCACAGGACUGUGUCCAAAAGCGUUAGCGUGUGCCUGGGUGUGUCCGUGUUUAAAACUCAGAAUAGAAGAAAGACCACUACAGGCUGAUCCUGUUAUACGGCACCCCCUGGACGUGGCUUAGCUAAUCACAGUACACCUGGCCUCCUGCUCUGAGAAGGGUUUUACUCCUUAAUCUCCUCAAUUUGCCUCUCCUUCCUCCUGACUUAUCUCCUCUCCCCCACCUCAUCCCUGCCUGCUAGUGCCCACACCAUCAGGAUAUAGCAGGAAGCCACUCCGGCGAUUAGAAGAAACAUUCUUGAGACCUUCAAAGCUUUCAUACGUGUCACUCUUGAAACAUAACCCAUUGGCCGACCGGCCGACAGGAAGACGGAGGAAGGAGACGUGGAGCUUCAUCCCGGCGCAGCCUGCAUGGCGAGGAGAGACCAGGGGCCACAACCACCUGACCUCCCAUUACCCAGAGGCCCUACUGGGGUCUCUCCCUCCUGCUCCUCUCUCAGACCAGAGCAGAAGAUGAGUGAGUCGGUACCACCAGCGCAGCAGCGGACUACAGAGGGGCUACACUGACACGCCGUGCCCAUCAGCCCGUGGGCACUGCGGCAUGAAUGUAACAGCUGGACUCGUGCGAUAACUAAGAGCAGCACUGAGGAGGAGGAGGAGGAGGAGGAGGAGGAAGAGGACAAUAGGCUGCGUCCAGUCCUGUCCAUCCAGCCGGUGGGUGGAUACAGCAGCCAGCCCCCCCGUCCCCUCACCACCACCACCACCCCCACCACCACCACCACCAC